rnacentral:rRNA from 1 species
CCUACGGGAGGCAGCAGUGGGGAAUAUUGCACAAUGGGGGAAACCCUGAUGCAGCGACGCCGCGUGAGCGAUGAAGUAUUUCGGUAUGUAAAGCUCUAUCAGCAGGGAAGAAAAUGACGGUACCUGACUAAGAAGCCCCGGCUAACUACGUGCCAGCAGCCGCGGUAAUACGUAGGGGGCAAGCGUUAUCCGGAUUUACUGGGUGGAAAGGGAGCGUAGACGGUCCUGCAAGCCAGAUGUGAAAGCCCGGGGCUCAACCCCGGGACUGCAUUUGGAACUGUAAGGCUAGAGUGUCGGAGAGGCAGGCGGAAUUCCUAGUGUAGCGGUGAAAUGCGUAGAUAUUAGGAGGAACACCAGGGGCGGAGGCGGCCUGCUGGACGAUGACUGACGUUGAGGCUCGAAAGCGUGGGGAGCAAACAGGAUUAGAUACCCUUGUAGUC